GCGUGUGUGAAGAAGGCCUGCGGGUUGUAAAGCACUUUCAGUUGGGAGGAAAAGCUCAAGAUUAAUACUCUUGAGUCUUGACGUUACCAACAGAAGAAGCACCGGCUAACUCUGUGCCAGCAGCCGCGGUAAUACAGAGGGUGCAAGCGUUAAUCGGAAUUACUGGGCGUAAAGCGCGCGUAGGUGGUUUGAUCAGUCGGAUGUGAAAGCCCCGGGCUCAACCUGGGAACUGCAUUCGAUACUGUCUGACUAGAGUAUGGUAGAGGGAAGUGGAAUUUCCGGUGUAGCGGUGAAAUGCGU
rnacentral:rRNA from 1 species